rnacentral:pre_miRNA from 1 species
CUCCUUUGUGUAUCUCCGUUUCACAUUUAUUAUAUCAUUUAUACUGGACGGAGGUUUGCUAAGGAAUA